GUUUGACCUCGGAUCAGGUAGGACUACCCGCUGAACUUAAGCAUAUCAA
rnacentral:rRNA from 2 species